rnacentral:rRNA from 1 species
GCGAGGAAUAUUGGUCAAUGGGCGAGAGCCUGAACCAGCCAAGUCGCGUGAAGGAAGAAGGAUCUAUGGUUCGUAAACUUCUUUUGCAGGGGAAUAAAGUGCGGGACGUGUCCUGUUUUGUAUGUACCCUGAGAAUAAGGAUCGGCUAACUCCGUGCCAGCAGCCGCGGUAAUACGGAGGAUCCGAGCGUUAUCCGGAUUUAUUGGGUUUAAAGGGUGCGUAGGUGGUUUGAUAAGUCAGCGGUGAAAGUUUGCAGCUUAAGUGUAAAAAUGCCGUUGAAACUGUCGGACUUGAGUGUAAAUGAAGUAGUCGGAAUGCGUGGUGUAGCGGUGGAAUUGAUAGAUAUCACGCAGAACUCCGAUUGCGAAGGCAGUUUACGAAGCUAGAACUGACACUGAAGCACGAAAGCGUGGGGAUCAAACAGGAUUAGAUACCCGGGUAGUCC